rnacentral:lncRNA from 1 species
GCAAGUGCCGUUGACAGAGUGCAGGCGGGAAGCUUCAGUUUGGGUAGAGAUGUAGCAUCAAACAUUCACGGAUGUCCAGGGAGCGCGGGCACACAGGCUGCUGGCCAGAGGUACUAGGAAGGUACAGGCGGGAGCCCGACGAGGACGCACCUUCCCCUGUCUUGGAAAGGCUCACAGCUCUGCUGGACUCUUUAAACCCCGAGGUCAUGUGAAAAGAAGUUUGUCCUGGGUCUGCCUGUCUCUUGUUGGCUGUCCACAAGAUGGAGAAGGCGGAAGCAACCUGAGGCGUCCUCUUUGUCUGUAAGGAUAGAGGGUCCAUUGUGGAAGGGAGAGAUACAGGCACUAUAUAGGCGAGGCCCUACCGGCCUGCAUCUCUUAUCUCCAGAAUUCUUUUACAGAAAAGAAAUAAAUAAAUAAACUUUUAUCUGGCUUAAGCCACUACUGUUUCUGGGCUCUGUUACUAGCUGCCAAAUGCAAAUCUUAACUGAUAGAAAAAGUCCUUGACGGAGUUUGAGCUGGCGGAUGGAUGCUGCCCGUUUGGUAGCUCUGCAGUGGUGGAUCUGUGGGAGUGGAGCGUCCUGGAGAGUAACAGGAGAUAAAGAUGGCUUGGCAGAUGGGGGCAGACAGUGAGAAUACACCUCACAAGGUGUCACGGACUUUCUUUUCCCCCAGGACACCUCUGCUGAAGUACUGUUAUACAGUGGCUAUUUAAACGUCGAUUGAUGGAGUAAUUUGAAGUCUACUCCUGUCAGCUGGCCUCAAAGCUGGGCUAUUUAGAAGAUGGGCACUCUUUGUGCCUAAAAAAAAAGCAGCAGGAGAAGAAUGGAGGGGAAGUGGUAUCAGCAUUACAGGAAAGUCAAGUGACUCCUGCAGGCGUCUCCAAGGAAAGGACUUUUUGUUACACAUGAUGGUCUAAUGAAAACACAUUGAAGUCUAAUGAAGAUAUCCUUUACAGUUGCUACUGUAAAUAAUGUCCCACACAUACAUCCUUCUGUAGCUUAGAGGAGGAAUACUACAUAUUUCUAAUUUAUUAUUUUCAUAAUAACUUCAUCAUUGUAAAGUUAGGCAAGACUUUCCCAUUUUACGUUAGAAGGACAUUUACUGUUUAUAUAUGGAUUAUAAAAAUAUGACCAGAUUCUGGUUCUAGCUCAUUCUGUGAUCCAAGUACUUGUGAGCCAGAGGCAGAAAGAUGGUUGUGAGUUUAAGGUCAGGUGACUGUGGGUGACAUAGUCCAGGGACCACGGGGCUGUGGUGUUAGACCUUCCUCUCAAAAAACACAAAAAAGUUCAGUUCCACAGCACAACUACUAAAGCAACAUAAAAGAGAGUAGCUUGGCCCUGUGUAACAAAGGGUUUUACCAUCUUUUUCUAUUGUAGUCUAACCAGUAAGAAACUGUAAGCCAGGGAGACAGCUCAUCAGGCAAAACUGCUUACCACAAACCUGACUGCCUGGGUGUGAUCCCUGGAACUGACCCUCGAGGAGUGUCCUCUGCCUUCCUCACUUGUACUUUAGCACCCACAUGUCUGCACUCAUUCACACGUCUCUCACACACACACACACACACACACAACAAUAAAUAAUAAUAAUAAUAAUAAUAAUAAUAAUAAUAAUAGUAAAUUCAAUCUUAAUUCCAGAGCAUAGAUCUCUUGUAUGAUACUAAAUGUAUUAACGUACUCUUCCGUUUCUUUUUUCUUUUUUUCUUUCUUAAAACUUGGUUGGGGGCUGGAGAGAUAUAGCUCAGCAGUUAGAGCACUGGUUGCUCUUCCAGAGCACCCACAUUCCACUCCCAGCCCCCACAUGGCAGAUCAUAGCCAUCUAUAACUCCAGUUCUAACCCUGACCUCCCCGGGCCCCAGACGUGAACAUGGUACACAGAUAUGCAUGCAGAAAAAAUAAACAUAUGCAUGAGAUAAAUGAAUCUUUUAAAAAUAUAAGUUGGGACUCUAAAGUUCCUUUCAAACUUGGCAUGGGUAAUCAGAAGCCCCUCAAUUCACCUACAAAUCUCAGUUCCAUUCAAGCUGUGGCCUUCAGCCUUUCUCUCACCUAGGGGAGGACAGAUGGAUGUUACCUGAAAUAUCUUUUUUUUUUUUUUUUUUUUCCCCGAGACAGGGUUUUUCUGUAUAGCCCUGGCUGUCCUGGAACUCACUCUGUAGACCAGGCUGGCCUCGAACUCAGAAAUCGGCCUGCCUCUGUCUCCCAAGUGCUGGGAUUAAAGGCGUGCGCCACCACUGCCUGGCCUGAAAUAUCUUUUUAAUGAAUUAUAUCUCCUUGUCCUUUUGCCUUGAUUUUAUCAAAAUGACGUGCACGAAUUCAACUACUACUGACUAUUCAGGUACGGAUCUCUACACUUUUGCCAAAGGAUUGUUUGGGUAAUUUUAAUUCUUUCUUACUUCUUGUGUGUGGUGUGUGUGGUUGUUGCUUGUUUUUUUUUCUCUCUUUCUUUUUCCUUUUUAAAACGCAGUCUUGCUAUGUAGUGCCCGUUAGCCUGCUAUGUACUACACAGCCCAUAACUCUUGGCGAUCCUCCUGCAUCAGCAAGUUUCAUGGGCUGAUGUCACCAUGCCCAGCUUCAACUGUUAGGGUUUGUCUGGUACGUCUCUGGAGUCCCUGGGCUGCAUUUCGUAAGCUCUGCACCGAGGAGAAAGACGCUGAAGCCUGCCGUCUGCCGCACAGACUUUGCCUUCUCCAGUUAAAAGGUAACAGUGCUGCUGUGGGUGGGGCUCUGCGUGCCGCUGUGGGACGCCUUGUGCGGCAGCUGAGUGGCUGUGGCUCAUAUUCUAACCCCGAUGAAGACUCUGGGAAGCAGCCAUAUUGGUGAAGAGCUGUGGCUCAAGGCUGCAGAGAGCAGCUGAACAAGGGCAGCUUAAGGUCUUGCUGACUCCUGUGUGGCUCAGAGGGUGACCUGUCAUUCUUAUAAAUAAUCUGAAGGAGAACAAGGCCAACUGUCUCCGUGUGACACUUGAUCCCACAUUUAUCCUUUCAGGCUGCCAAACUGAAAGACCUUAUGGUGAUUAAAUAUUUCUGGCCAGCAAUGCCCUGCCAUUUUAUUGAAAAAUGAUAGCCUGAUAUCUUCUAUAAUUUUUUUUUUUUUCUGUUGAGACAAGGUCUCAUGCAGUCCAGGCCAGCCUUGAAUUCACUGUGUAGCCAAGGUCGACCUUCAGUUUCUGAUCCCCCUGCCUCUGCCUUCUAAGUACCAAAACUAAAGGUGUGCCCAGAUUGUCAUGCCAUGGCUUUGUGCAUGCUAGGUGAGUGCUCUAACUGAAUCACAUCUCUAGCUCUGUAUCUGUUUCCAUAAAAACAAAUGUUCUGCACUAGCAUUAGCUGUGGUGGACAAGCUGCCCCAAGUCACCGUAGUUCAUUGGUAAUGCAUUGCGGACGGGCAAUGAAAUGGCUCAGGCGUUAAGAACACUGACUGCUCCUGAGUUCAAAUCCCAGCAACCACAUAGUGGCUCACAACUAUCCAAUGAGAUCUGACGCCCUCUUCUGGUGCGUCUGAAGACAGCUACAGUGUACUUACAUAUAAUAAUAAAUCUUAAAAAAAAAAGAACACAGUAAAAAACAAAACACACACACACACACACACACACACACAGAGAAUGCAUUGCAGAGGGAAUGCAUCCCUUUACAUUGGAUGGACAAGGCUCUGCCUCAUGGGGGUGGGGUGGGAGUGGGGAUGGGGACUGACUGAAUGCCAAACAGUAAUAAAUCAAACAAAUGACAAACCACACACACACACACACACACACACACACACACACACACUACCCCCCAAAAGAAAACCAAAAUUAAAUGAAAUAAACAACAGGACAGGUGAGAUAGGUCAGUUGGUAAAAGUGCUUGCUGCUGGAACCCCAUCGGAGAGGGCAAGAACCCAUUCCUAAAGGUUGUCGUCUGGAUUCUCUGUGCAGAUCACUACAGAACACACUUUGUCUGCGCCUCAGUCUCUUCUGAAGCACACAGAAUAAUAUCACUCUACAAGAGAAAUGGUGGUUAUCACUUUAUUUGGCAGGGGUGGGAGGUGGGCAGCAAGCUACUGUAACCCGGGUUUGGGAAAUCUCCUCUCAAAGGACAGAGGACAUUUUGUGGUAAGAGAAGUACGCUAGCUCACGGAAGUCUGGGUGUGAAAAGUUCUUUGUAUUUUCUAAGGUUUUUAGAGCAGAACUGGAGAUAGUUAUGCAGAGAUUUUAAUGCAGACCUGAAGUCCUAGGGGUAAGAGAAAGGAGAAUGCACAGGAAGAAGGGAAAGAGCAACCAAGAACCAAGGUGUGGGCUUCUCAAACCUUGCCUUCCUCCAGGGCAGAGAAAGCCCAGAUCAGGGCCAUGUAUCUGCAAAGGCCCGUAGGCAAACCUGUGGGGUAUUUUCUUGAUUGAUGUGGAAGGGCCCAGCACAUGGUAGUGGUUCUGAGUUCUAUGAGAAAGCAGGUUUCAGGAGAAGAAAAAUAAAAACUGCACACAGGGAAACAUUCCCUGGCUAGGGAACUGAUAGAAAAUGGUGUGAGUUAUUUGUGUGUACUUUUUUAGUUGAAUUUUUAUCUCAUUUAUGUGUACGUAUGUCUGUGUGUCCGCCACUUGUAUUUGGAAGCUCACGUAGGUCAGAGAAGGCAUCAGAGCUCCUGAAGCUGGGGUUGUAGGCAAUUCCACGCAGCCCAGUGUCAUUGCUGAAACCUGAACUUGGCUCCUCCAGAAGAGCAGCCUGUGCUCUUAACUGCUGGGCUUAUCUCUCCAGUCCCCAUUUGUUUAUAUUUUGAUAUUACUUAUUUAUUCAUUUAUUUAUUUAUUUUUCUUUUUUCGAGACAGGGUUUCUCUGUAUAGCCAUGGCUGUCCUGGAACUNNNNNNNNNNNNNNNNNNNNNNNNNNNNNNN